AUUGGGAGCAACAGUUCAGUCAGACCAACGGUGUUCAACUCUCUCUCUCUCAAGUUCGCCGCUCCUAAUGCUGGAUGGUGGAGGAUGACUAGCUGCAACCGGGAGGUUUAUGGAUGAAUGGAUGGCAGUGAAGCACAGCACACGUGGAUUUCUAAGUGGAUAAAUAAAUUGCACUUUCAAACUGAAGAAGUUGUCCAUGGCCUACCUACGUUUUCACUGGAUGGUGGACGAUGACUGCAACCGGGAGGUGUAUGGAGGGAUGCUAUACGGAAUGGAUGGCAGUGAAGCACAGCACACGUGGAUUUCUGAAUUAAGAGUGGAUGAAUAAAUGCACUUGCUUUUCAAACUGAUAA